rnacentral:rRNA from 1 species
AUAAAUAUAUCGAAAAGCAUUAGAUGGAUACCUAGAUAUUUAUUAUAAUAUUUUAUGGACGUUAUUGAUCGAAAAUAUUUAAUGAAUUUAUAUUAUGAUUUAAAUAUUUCCAUUGAGAAAACUUUUUUUGAAUGAAAUUUAUAUCAUUAGUGAAUUGAAACAUCUAAGUAACUAAGUGAAAGAAAUCAAACGAAAUUCUGUUAGUAGUGGCGAGCGAAUAUGGAAAAUAGGCUAAUUUUUAACUAUUAUUAUAAUUUUAUAAAUACAUAGAUGGUCAAAAUUCCAGUGUAAAAUUAAAUAAGGUUUAAAUUUGAGUAAAACGAAAUAGGUGAAAUUUUGUUUGAAGAAAAGGGAACCAUCCUUUAAGCCUAAAAUAAAUAAAUAAUCAAUAGUGAACAAGUACUGUGAAGGAAAGGUGAAAAAGAAUUUACGAAAUUGAAAUAGAUCUUGAAAUCUAAUGCUUUGAACAAUUGGAGCUUAAAAUAAUAAGUGACAAUAUACCUUUUGUAUAAUGGACCAGUAAGUUUAUUUAUAUAGCAAGUUUAAAUUGAAAAAUGUAGACAAAGUGAAAGCGAAUUUGAAAUGAAAAAGAAUUAAUAGUUAUAUAAAUAAGACCCGAAACCAAGUGAUCUAAUUAUGAACAAGUUGAAAAAAUAUUAAAUUAUUUUUGAGGACUGAACCCGUAUCUGUUGCAUAAGAUUGGGAUGAUUUGUGAUUAGGGGUGAAAGGCUAAUCAAACUUGGAGAUAGCUGGUUUUCUGUGAAAUCUAUUUACGUAAAGUGUUAAAAUUAUUUUUUUGGGGUAGAGAUAUCGAUAAAAGCAGGUUGCCCAUAAAGCUUUACUAAUUUUAAGGAAACUUCGAAUACGAAAAAAUAUUUUAAUAAACGGACUUAUAAUGCUAAGGUUAUAGGUCGAGAGGGAAACAGCCCAGAUUGUUUAUUAAGGUCUUUAAAUUUUUUUGAUUUCUCAUAAAAAAGGAAGAUUUAAAUUUUGAUAACUAAGAGUUAGGUUCAGAAGCAGCCAUUCUUUAAAGAAAGCGUAAAAGCUCAUUAGUUUAAUUUAAGUUUUCUAACGAUGUAUAGAGAUUGGAAGAGAAGUACCGAUAUAGCAAAUUCAAUAAAUUUAUAAUUAAUUGGAUGGUAACAGAACGUUCUGUAAGCAUAAGAAUAAAUUGAAAAAUUUAUUUUUGUAUCAGAAGUGAUAAUACUGGUAUGAGUAAUAUAAAUAAUAUAAAAUAGGUAAUUAAAUAUUAUCGUCGAAAAUUUAAGGUUUUUAAUUUAUAUUUGUUAAACAAAAUUAAGUUAUACGGUUUCUAAAUUUUGAAUAUGUUAAAGUGAAAACUUCGGAUGAUGAAAAUUAUUUUUAAUAAAACUUAUUUUAUUAAGAAUCUACAAAUUAAUAAAAUAAUUUAAAAAGUUUAAAAAUAAAAACCGUACUAAAACCGACACAGGUGAAUAGGUAGAAUAUACUAAGACGAUAAAAGUGAAUCAUAGUGAAGGAACUCGGCAAAUUAACCUUGUAACUUCGGAAGAAAAGGUUUUUAUUAAUUGUAGAAAUUAAGUUUAAUAAAAAAAUAUGAAAGGGGGUAGCGACUGUUUAAUAAAAACACAGGACUUUGCUAAAUUGUAAAAUGAUGUAUAAGGUCUGACACCUGCCAGGAACUGUGUAGUUAAAAUUGAAAACAAUAUAUUUUUAAUAUAAGCAGCAGUAAUCGGCGGCCAUAACUCUGAUGGUCCUAAGGUAGCGAAAUUCCUUGUCAACUAAUUAUUGACGUGCAUGAAUGGUGUAACGACUUCCCCACUGUCUCCACUAUGAGCUUUGUGAAAUUGAAAUAUUUGUGAAGAUGCAAAUUAUAUAUGGUUAGACGGUAAGACCCCGUGCACCUUUACUACAAUUUUUAAGUGAUUAUUUUUAUAAAAUUGUGUAGCAUAAGUGGGAAUUUAAAUUAAAUUUUAAAUAUUACUGAAAUACCACUCGUUUUAUUAUUAAUAGCUAAUUUUAGAAAUAAAAAAUUUAAAAGACAAUUUAAAGAUUGGUAGUUUAACUGGGGUGGUUUUCUCCAAAAAAGUAACGGAGAAAUAUAAAGGUAAAUUAAUAAUUAUUGUUGUAAUAAUUAUUUAUGUGUAAUGGCUUAAAUUUGCUUGACUGUAAGAUUGACAAAUCAAACAGAAACGUAAGUUGAUCAUAGUGACCCGGUAAUUCUUUAUGGAAAGGUUAUCGAUCAAUGGAUAAAAGGUACGCCGGGGAUAACAGGCUUAUAAUUCUCUAGAGUUCAUAUCGACGGAAUUGUUUGGCACCUCGAUGUCGGCUCAUCACAUCCUAGAGCUGAAGAAGGUUCUAAGGGUUUGGCUGUUCGCCAAUUAAAGUGGUACGUGAGCUGGGUUUAAAACGUCGUGAGACAGUUUUGUCCCUAUCUGCCAUAUAAAAACGAAAAAAUGAAAUAAAUAAUUCUAGUACGAGAGGACCGAAUUAGAUUGAUCAAUGGUAUAUAAGUUAUUUCUUAAUUUUAAUAAAAGAAGUAUUGUUUAGUAGCUAAAUCAAUAAAAGAUAAAUACUGAAUAAAUAUAAGUAUGAAGCUUUGUUUUCAAAUUUUCGAUAAAAAAGUAAGAGAAAAUUACUUAAAUAGGCUUAAUGUAUGUAAAUGUAAAAUAGCUAAUAAGUACUAAUUUUUUGGUUAAUUUAUAAAAA